GAAUGUAUUUGCAAAGAUCAUUGUAGCAGCAGAAUUCUGAUAAGAUGGAGGAAAGAAAAGCCAGAGUGAAGCAGACCAUUAGCAGAUAAUUGUCAUAAUCUUGAUACUAAAUGGAGACCAGAAUUAAGGGCACCAGCAGUGUAAGGAAGGCUAUUUGUAAGGGAUUUGGCAUUGUGCCUGUCAGUGACUUCAGUGAGUGACAGCAGGGUCAGUGGAGUGACAGGUAGUGAGGGCUUGUAGAUAAACCAGUUGAAGUCAGAAGGCAAAGGAUCCUUUGAUGUAGUCCAUUCAGAGCAGAAGGAGAAGAAUGCAGAGUGGAUCUGCAGGGACAAAUAGAAGAUGCAGCGCAAUGGAGAUACUGUUUAAUGCCGCAGGGGACCUGGGCUCUUUUCGUCUCUCCUAUGUAAAGAGAAUUUCCUCCAUCCAAGUAAAACUGAUGCGAUCGGCUUUCAAAGAAUUGAAUGAAGCCCAUCCACACUGGGAAGGCAAUCUGCUUUGUUCAGUCUACUGAUUCAACUGUCAAUCUCAUCCAGAAACACCUUCCCAGAUGCACCAAGAAUGUUUAAGCAAAUAUCUGGGCACCUCGUGGUCCAGUCAAUUUGACAUAUAAAAUUAACCAUCCGAUGGUUCAACAUACAUGUACCUGUGAUGUUUAACCUACAAAUAAAGAUUGCUAAGAGGUCAA
rnacentral:lncRNA from 1 species